rnacentral:rRNA from 1 species
AGAAUCAACGCUGGCGGCGCGCCUAACACAUGCAAGUCGAACGAGAAAGUCGGAGCAAUCCGGUGAGUAAAGUGGCGUACGGGUGAGUAACACGUGGAUCAUCUACCUCUUAGUGUGGAAUAACCAUGGGAAACCGUGGCUAAUACCGCAUAAGUCCGUGAGGAGAAAGCAGCAAUGCGCUGAGAAAGGAGUCCGCGGCCGAUUAGCUAGUUGGCAGGGUAAAAGCCUACCAAGGCAGAGAUCGGUAGCCGGCCUGAGAGGGCACACGGCCACACUGGCACUGAAACACGGGCCAGACUCCUACGGGAGGCAGCAGUGGGGAAUCUUGCACAAUGGGGGAAACCCUGAUGCAGCGACGCCGCGUGAGCGAUGAAGCCCUUCGGGGUGUAAAGCUCUUUCGGCAGGGAAGAUAGUGACGGUACCUGCAGAAGCAGCUGCGGCUAACUACGUGCCAGCAGCCGCGGUAAUACGUAGGCAGCGAGCGUUGUUCGGAGUUACUGGGCGUAAAGGGUGUGUAGGCGGUCGCCUAAGUUUGGUGUGAAAUCUCCCGGCUCAACCGGGAGGGUGCGCCGAAUACUGAGUGACUAGAGUGUGGGAGAGGAAAGUGGAAUUCCUGGUGUAGCGGUGAAAUGCGUAGAUAUCAGGAGGAACACCGGCGGUGUAGACGGCU